UACGGGGGGAGCAAGCGUUGUUCGGAUUUACUGGGCGUAAAGGGCGCGUAGGCGGCCAGCGCAAGUCAGUUGUGAAAUCUCCGGGCUUAACUCGGAAAGGUCAACUGAUACUGCGCGGCUAGAGUGCAGAAGGGGCAACUGGAAUUCUCGGGUGUAGCGGUGAAAUGCGUAGAUAUCGAGAGGAACACCUGCGGCGAAGGCGGGUUGCUGGGCUGACACUGACGCUGAUGCGCGAAAGCCAGGGAGCGAACGGG
rnacentral:rRNA from 1 species